CAAUGUUCGCUGGAGCCCUGCCUCAGCAGAGGGGAGCGGACCCCAUGAGCCUUCCCAUCCUGGAAAUUCAGCUUUCUCUUCGUGCUGGAAGUCCUUUGAUACGGAUUUGGUAGACGAUCAAAAAAGGAACCAGAGACCAUCUCAUCUCUACCCUUCACUUCAUACAUGAAGAAACUGAAGCCAAGUAUUGAAGGAAAGAAGACGGAGAGGAUCUUACAAAACAAAAUACCAACUGAGAAGUUCCACAUAAUUCUAAAACACAUGGGCACGUUGUAAAGAGAAGAAGUAGACAUACAUCAAGUCAGUGUGACAGCGACUCUACACAACGAAAAAAAUGCAAAAUAUUUUUACAGCAUUUCACAGUUUUCAAGUGUGUCUCCAAACAUUCUUGGGUUUCAUUUGGAAGGGGUUUAAGUGUUUAAUUUUUAAUCAAAGUAAUGCCGACACAAAGUUUCCAAAGUCAUAUGGCGCUACCAAGCGUAUAACGAUAGGUGGCCAUCACCGGCCACCUCUCUCACACAUCCCAUUCCCCAAAAGCAAACACUUGAAAUUAUUUCUCUCAGUGCUUUUGUUGGAAGCUCCCUUGUGGCCCAGUGGGUUAAGGAUCCAGUGUUGCUGCAGCUGCAGUGCAGGUCACAACUGCCUCGAGGGUUGGAUCCUUAGCCUCGAAGGGGAGAUGCCAUGGGUGUAGCCAAAAAUAAAAUUUUUCUUCUUUAA